ACGGACAUCAUAAUGUUGGUUACAAAUAGGAAGGUUAUUUUUAUAUACUCUUAUAACGGCCCAAAGCCCAUUACUCUCAUAACCCUAACUACCACUACAACCGCCCCCUCCCCCCUUAUUUUCUUUCUGGUUUGUUUCUAUCUCCUCCUCCUCCAUUCUCUUCUUUCACCCCUCUUUCACUCUUAGCUUCCUUUAUUUGUUCCUCUCGAAUCUCAACCCAUCCCUUCUUCACUCUCUUCUUUCCCUCAACCUCUUAGCAAUUCUCUCCUCCACGAGCACACACUGCACCAUGAGCUAUUAUCAUCAACAAUCGAGCUUCACCAUCAACCAUAGCCGAUGUUAACAAUAUAUGUCUUUAAUGGUGCUUAUGAAUUUAGGGAAAGGAGCUUAACCACAUUUGUGAAGGUUAUACUAGGCGUCUAAGCCCAACGUGACAAACUAUGAUGGAGCUAUAUAGACACUUUUUGUUUUUUUAGACCAUUUUUAGCAUAAUCUGUUGUAAAUCUUGUAAUUAAAUGAUUUAGAGAUAGAAUAUAAUUUAGUUUGUAUUAAUUGAAAAGAUUAUUAUUCCCUAGAAUAUUCACCUAUUUAUUUUUAUCUUUUUUUU